GAAGCCCUGUAGUCUCCAGCAAGAAACAAUGGCAGGAAUAGUCCCUGCCCGAGCCCUGAUCCCAGGAUGAUGCUGUGGGUUUUCAUGGUGAAAAGAAGAUAGGAAUAUAGCUCCUGUCCCAAAGCCCAUCGGCACAGGACUCUCUCCUUACUGCUAGAAAUGAAGGCCUUGCUGUGUGUGAGGGGCCAGGCGAGAGGCAAGUGCUAAGGGGGACUUUUCAAGUGAGUGUACUCUCUUCUGUACUCUCCAAGUGAGAGUCUUCAGGUGUGGUGUUGAGCGGGCUUCCAGCUUCAAGAGAGAAGAUGAAAGAGGCCAACCCGACUUCAGGUUUCUGAAGGAAAAUACUCUGUGAAGAUGUGAGAGGGGGGGACAGCCUCCAUCAUGUCCCUAUUCCCAGCUUGUUACUGGAGAGACUCCAGGGCGAUUCCUGUUGAGUGGAAUCGAAGAGCCUCUUUCUUGGUUGAAUUAAGUUAUCUUGCUACCAAUGGGCAAAUUUCUUCCCUCUUUAUUAUCGUACAUAUUCUCCUGUGUAUCUCUGAUUUCUGUUUUGCUAAAUGAUCUGGUUAAAUUUUUUAAUUUGCUAGGUAGAUUGGUUUCUUUGCUAUCCUCUAUAUGUAUUCAUUAUGGAACUGGUAUUAGGUAGGGAAGCAGUCAAGCCUUAGAUAUAGAUCUUGGGGUCCCUUUGCCCCCUCUGUUGACAAAAUGGUCAAAAGUUAGAUUGAACCCAAUCAUAUUCUGUAGACUAAUAAUAUGUAAGGGAGCAGAUAGAUACACUUCUAACCCAGUACCCCCUGUCUCUGAGGAGAACAUCGUGGUGACCUUUGGCCCCAACCUCCUGCUUCCCCUGCCGGGAAUGAAAGUCUCACUUGGAGAAGGGUGGGGGAACAAGGGGCUAGAGAUGUUGGUUCUGCCCCACUUUGAGCCACACACAACGACAAGUAUGCCACAGGUGGCCCUCACCACAUGUGUGGGGUCCGCUCUUAACCUCUUUGCUAUAGGUAGAAGAACAUCAAUGAUAUCAUUGAACAAGGUGGUCUUUUUUCUACUGGGACCAGCAACUGAACUGGAAAUGCAAUACAGUAUGAAAGAGUGUUGGACAUGAAGUCAGAGGACCUGGGUUCCACUUAUUCCCUCUAUAACCUUGGAUAAUUCACCUCAGCCUUCUAGGCCUUGAUUUUCUCAUCUGUAAAAUGAACAUGUUGGACUAGAUGUUCUCUAAGAUUCCUUUCAGCUUUAAAUUGAUGAACCUAUGAAUCUAUGAAUGUUUCCGAGAAUUCAGCAGAAAUGAAAUGACAGAUGAACCAUCUUGUCCCCUCUCUGAGUGGGAGGCAUUGCUAGCCAUAAGCUUGCCAUACAGUCAGUGCCUCUUUUGGUUUGAACGAAUUUAAUUAGGAAUCAUCUAAUAUACCCCCCUCAUUUUUAAAAUAAAUUUUUAUUGCUA